rfam:Brachypodium distachyon strain Bd21 chromosome 5, whole genome shotgun sequence.
CCGACCUUAGCUCAGUUGGUAGAGCGGAGGACUGUAGUGUUUGCAGAUUAAAUCCUUAGGUCGCUGGUUCGAAUCCGGCAGGUCGGA